rnacentral:rRNA from 1 species
UGGGGGAUAUUGCACAAUGGGCGAAAGCCUGAUGCAGCGACGCCGCGUGGGGGAUGAAGGCCUUCGGGUUGUAAACUUCUUUUGCUCUGAACAAGGCAUGCUAAUGGGUGUGUUGAGUGUAGGGGUUGAUUAGCGCCGGCUAACUACGUGCCAGCAGCCGCGGUAAUACGUAGGGCGCGAGCGUUGUCCGGAAUUAUUGGGCGUAAAGGGCUUGUAGGUGGCUGGUUGCGUCUGUCGUGAAAGCUCAUGGCUUAACUGUGGGUUUGCGGUGGGUACGGGCUGGCUUGAGUGCAGUAGGGGAGGCUGGAAUUCCUGGUGUAGCGGUGGAAUGCGCAGAUAUCAGGAGGAAUACCGGUGGCGAAGGCGGGUCUCUGGGCUGUUACUGACACUGAGGAGCGAAAGCAUGGGGAGCGAACAGGA